AACGAACGCUGGCGGCAUGCCUAACACAUGCAAGUCGAACGAGACCUUCGGGUCUAGUGGCGCACGGGUGCGUAACGCGUGGGAACCUGCCCUUAGGUUCGGAAUAACUCCCCGAAAGGGGUGCUAAUACCGGAUAAUGUCUUCGGACCAAAGAUUUAUCGCCUUUGGAUGGGCCCGCGUUGGAUUAGCUAGUUGGUAGGGUAAAAGCCUACCAAGGCCGAUCCAUAGCUGGUCUGAGAGGAUGAUCAGCCACACUGGGACUGAGACACGGCCCAGACUCCUACGGGAGGCAGCAGUGGGGAAUAUUGGACAAUGGGCGAAAGCCUGAUCCAGCAAUGCCGCGUGAGUGAUGAAGGCCUUAGGGUUGUAAAGCUCUUUUACCCGGGAUGAUAAUGACAGUACCGGGAGAAUAAGCUCCGGCUAACUCCGU
rnacentral:rRNA from 1 species